rnacentral:lncRNA from 1 species
UGGCUACUCGCUAGUCAGAUUAAUGGGUUUGCUAAGAUGAUUAAGCUUGUACGUGUUUGAAUUGCUCUCUUUUUCUUCUUUUUUUUUCGUUAUCCCAGCAGUGGGCAUUUAACGUUAGUUUCGUUGAGAGUUUUAUUUUUACUAAUCGGGUUCAAUUAGUAUUUCAGUUAUUUACUCUCAAGUUGUUGGUUCCAACUAAAAUGUAUUAGUAAAAGAAAGAAAGAGUGUUUUCUGUUUUUUUUUUUUUUGUUGGUGUGGUAAAUUAGUUUUGGUACAUGGAUCAUGUACGUAACUAGAAAAAUAUUUUGUUACAUGUAAUUGGGUUUCUAUAAUUAUUGAUUUCGGGAGAAGCCCAGAUUUCAUAUUUUGACAUCAAAAUUGAUUUUAGUCAUUAAUAAUAACCGAGAAUUUACCAUUUGAGUAUUUUUUAUCAGG